UUUUUUUGAAACCAGCUGCCACAUAAGAACUUCAACUUUCCUGAGACCAACAAGCUGUAAAGAAGCAAAGCGCCCAUGUAGAAAGGCCUGGUGGAAUAGCUCUGUGUUUACUACUAUAAACUUUCUUCUUAACACUGCUAUGACUACAACCCAGAGAUUUUGUGUUGACCUUGGACAGUCUGGUGAUCAUAUUCCUUGGUGAUGUUCAUCAUAUAUAAUAUCUCAAAGGGUCUGGCUCUGCCACCCAGGAUGAAGUUCAGCAGCAUGAUUUCAGCUCACCGCAACCUCCGCCGUCAGGGAUAAGUCAUCCUCCCCCUUCAGUCUCCUGAGCAUCUAGGACUAUAGGCAUGUGCCACCAUGUCUGGCUAAUUUUUCAUUUUUUGGUGGAGACACAGUUUUGCCAUAUUGCUCAGACUGGUCUUGAAUUCCUCGGCUCAAGGUAUCUGAGCGUCAUGGCCUCCCAAAGUGCUGGGAUCGCAGACGUGAACCCCUGUGCCUGGCUGACUUAUUUUUAAAUAAUUUCUGAAAAUGCACAAAGCUUAAUUAUGUAGAUUGGCAUAUUUUCAAAAAUGUAUACACUUCUGUAACUAUUA